GGAGUUGGUCAGGCAGUCGCUCGUUUCGUCCGCGAAACGGGAGGAAAGUCCGGGCUCCAACGGGCAGGGUGCCAGGUAACGCCUGGGGGGCGCGAGCCCACGGAAAGUGCCGCAGAAAAGAUACCGCCGAUCCCGCGCCCGUCGCGGGAGGUAAGGGUGAAAUGGUGCGGUAAGAGCGCACCGCGCCGGUGGCAACAUCGGUGGCAGGGUAAACCCCACCCGGAGCAAGACCAAAUAGGGGGACAUGCGGCUUCGACCGCGACGCGCGGCCCGCGCGUGUUCCCGGGUAGGUCGCUUGAGGCGCAUGGCGACAUGCGUCCCAGAUGAAUGGCUGUCCUCGACAGAACCCGGCUUAUCGGCCAACUCCCUCC
rnacentral:RNase_P_RNA from 2 species